rnacentral:rRNA from 14 species
GUCAACUCGGAGGAAGGUGGGGAUGACGUCAAGUCAUCAUGCCCCUUAUGUCCAGGGCUUCACGCAUGCUACAAUGGCUGGUACAGAGAGUGGCGAGCCUGUGAGGGUGAGCGAAUCUCGGAAAGCCGGUCUCAGUUCGGAUUGGGGUCUGCAACUCGACCCCAUGAAGUCGGAGUCGCUAGUAAUCGCAGAUCAGCAACGCUGCGGUGAAUACGUUCCCGGGCCUUGUACACACCGCCCGUCACACCAUGGGAGUGGGUUGCACCAGAAGUAGCUAGUCUAACCUUCGGGAGGACGGUUACCACGGUGUGAUUCAUGACUUGGGUGAAGUCGGAACAAGGUAGCCGUACUGAA